GGCGUCCGCCUCGUGGACGCCGGUGCCCAUCCAAGCCGACUCCCGGUUACGCUGACGCCGUGCGGCAUGCCCGCCUGCCAGGAAACCCUGCCCAGGGGCACCGCAUAGCCGACAGCCGUCGCACAUAGGGAGCCCCUUUCAUG
rnacentral:sRNA from 1 species